AUCACAGACACUCUGCGCAUGCGCUCACAGUUCUGAACCGGUAGCGAAGUGAUUUUGUCUCCAAGCUGGUUUGAAGAACAUGAGAACAAAAGUUAGUCUCUCAAACAAAAGAUCCAAAGCAUAGAAGAAAUACCCUGAAGGUCACACACCACCUAGCACCUGAGGUGAAGAUGGGGGAAAUGCUGUUUCUCCAAGGGGAGGAUUCUUCAGAGAUUGGUAGAAGAGAAAAUAUUCAAAGAUUAGAUCCUCUGCAUGUCUUUGAAUAUCAGUUCAAGUCUACCCUUAACCAUAGAAGCUCAGUAGCUUACUUUACGAUUGGCCACCUGAAGUUAUUUGAGAUACGUUUAACAGGCAAAAUGUAACAAAAACCCACAGACAAAACGAAGAGCAAAGACCUUUUCUCAGUAAAGCAAAUGGAAAAACUA